rnacentral:rRNA from 1 species
CGCGGGAAUUCGAUUAGAGUUUGAUCAUGGCUCAGAACGAACGCUGGGGGCAUGCCUAACACAUGCAAGUCGAACGAACCCUUCGGGGUUAGUGGCGCACGGGUGCGUAACGCGUGGGAAUCUGCCCUUGGCUUCGGAAUAACAGUUAGAAAUGACUGCUAAUACCGGAUGAUGUCUUCGGACCAAAGAUUUAUCGGCCAGGGAUGAGCCCGCGUAGGAUUAGGUAGUUGGUGGGGUAAAGGCCUACCAAGCCGACGAUCCUUAGCUGGUCUGAGAGGAUGAUCAGCCACACUGGGACUGAGACACGGCCCAGACUCCUACGGGAGGCAGCAGUGGGGAAUAUUGGACAAUGGGCGCAAGCCUGAUCCAGCAAUGCCGCGUGAGUGAUGAAGGCCUUAGGGUCGUAAAGCUCUUUUACCCGGGAUGAUAAUGACAGUACCGGGAGAAUAAGCUCCGGCUAACUCCGUGCCAGCAGCCGCGGUAAUACGAAUCACUAGUGAAUUCGCGGCCGCCUGCAGGUCGACCAUAUGGGAGAGCUCCCAACGCG